rnacentral:rRNA from 1 species
AGGUGGUGCAUGGUUGUCGUCAGCUCGUGUCGUGAGAUGUUGGGUUAAGUCCCGCAACGAGCGCAACCCUCGACCUUAGUUGCCGGCAUUCAGUUGGGCACUCUAAGGUGACUGCCGGCUAAAAGUCGGAGGAAGGUGGGGAUGACGUCAAAUCAUCAUGCCCCUUAUGACCUGGGCUACACACGUGCUACAAUGGGCGGUACAAAGGGUCGCGAACCCGCGAGGGGGAGCCAAUCCCAAAAAGCCGCUCUCAGUUCGGAUUGCAGGCUGCAACUCGCCUGCAUGAAGCCGGAAUCGCUAGUAAUCGCGGAUCAGCAUGCCGCGGUGAAUACGUUCCCGGGCCUU